AUUUACCGUGUGCCUGGCACUGUGCUGACUUCUGGGGAAUCCGAAGCCAAGAAGAUCAAGGCCAGGCCCUGACAGACUGAUACUUUAGCUGGAUGGACAAAGAAAGAACCAGGGAAACACAUAAGCAACCCUGUGAGGGAAGUACCAGGCUCAACCCCACGGGACAGACGAGGGAACCCGGGCAUGGAGAGGUGAAGUCCCGAGGCCAAGCCUGCAAGGACCCCUGCACUCAGCGGGGGUGCUGGGUAAAGCUGGUGGCUUCAUUGUGACCUGUGCUUUCAUCAUCCCAUCUCCUCUAGAGCUGGCCUUCCUCCCUUCAAAGAAGACCCCCUUGAUUACACUGGGCCCAUCAGCAACACCCUUGACUUAAUCACACCCUUUCCCCAGGUCAUGGCUAACUCUGACCCCCUUCUCUGAUACUUGGUUCAAGCUUCUGCAUCAUACACAGUUCAGAAUCAUCUGGAAGUAGAAAGAACAUAGAAGUUGGCAUCGAAGAGACCUGGGUUUAAAUUCUCCCUCCAUCCCUUCCCUUGAUAGCUGGGUGAUCUUUCAAUUAAUUAAGGAAAUAAGCUUCUGAGGGCCAACUAUGUGCCAGGCACUGAGAACACAGAGAACAAGACAGACAGGUCCCGCCUCCUUUUGUGGAACUUUCUCUCCAUAGGGAUGCACACAAAGACCUGAUGAUGGUUAUGAAAGAAAUGACCAGGGAGUUAUGACAGAGAGUUAUAGUGGUGGGGGUAGAGUUGAGGUCCCACCAAGGUAGGAUGGUUGGGGAAGGCCUCUCUGUGGCAUUUAAAUUAAUACUGAAAACUGAGGUAGAGCCAAUCAUGAAGGGAGGGGAAAGGCUUCUUAGCAGUAGGAACAGUAUGUGCAAAGGGCCUGAGGUGGGAAAGAGCUUGGCCUGUUGAGAAACCAAAAGGAGACCAGAAUUAUCCAAACAUGGGAGGAGGGGAAGAGAGUAGGUCAGAGAGGGAAGCAGAGGCCAACAGGAAGUACUGGAGUUCAUAUGAAGUGCAAGAAGCCAUGGGAACU